UAUGUAUGCCAUAGAAUGAAAAACUUCAUUUUAGGAAAAUGAAAGUUAAAUUCUUUUUUGGGUUGUGUGCUUCUAUGAUUCACCUUACAUAAUUCAUAGGUAUUUGAGAUCAAAGUCAUCUUAAAAAAUGUAGAACUUCCUAGGAUAAAAAGGACAUCUGUGUGUUGUGGAAUGGUCUUACUUGAAGCUAAGGAGCAUUUGCAGGUAUCAUACCCAAGGACAAUGGAGCAUCUAUCAGUAAAAAAGGCAAUACGAUAUCAUACCAAUGAAGGAUCAUCAUCAAAAAGCAUGCAAAGGAGAGAUUUCAUUAAGGUUUAAGAUAAGUUUGUUUAAUUUGUUUGUAUACAUAGUUUUAUUAUCGUGCAAAACAUACACAACAGAACUUUUCACUAUCACACUUUUGCAACAUGAA